UACAGACACGCACGCAAGCAGGGGCCUCCGGGGUAUCGCCCCCUCCCCCUCCUGCGCGUAUGUCUGGCGGAAGAGUGAGAAGGGCGCGCGGCGAUUCAGAGCGGUGAGCCGUGCUUGACGGCGUUCCCUAUCUCUUUGCUUCUCCUUCGCCCCCACCACCACCACCACACACCUCUUACGCACCCCACCGCUCCCCUCACCCCGGACGCAUCCCUUCUGGCGUUGUCGACCUUUGCAUCGCCCGCGGAUGCAGUGCAAGACAUCAGCCGCCGUGUUGUAUGUCUGCAUGAUCGCAUUCCCAUGGAGCUCUCGCGUCGCAUCCUUUCGUUGCCCCUCUCUCCGCCUCCCCUUCGUGCGCGCGGCGGGGUGUAUGUUCAGACUCGCUCGCCGUGCGUUUCGCCACUCCUCUCGCAUCUAACUUGUGUCUCCCUUUUUCGCAUGUAGCGGGAAGGAGGAGUGGGUGGGCGCUGCUGACGUUUGCUUCGCCGCUUCGCUUGUGCGUGUGUGUGCACGAAUUUGACGAAGGGGAGAAGAGAGCGCGCGCAAGCUACUCCGCGCAGAGGACGCGGCUGCUGGCUGCCUGCCCCCGCGAAAGGUUGCGCUUCCCCCUCCCCCUCUUCCAGCGUACCGCCUCAUUCCCUUUUUCACUGUUGUUCUCUGCUGCAAGGUGCCCGUUGUCCUCCUCCCCUCGCGCGCCUUCGCGUCUUGCCUGCAACGCCUCCUUUUCCUCACCAUCAACGCUCACCUUUGUUGUUGUCCGCCGCACUCAUCCAUCCGAGCGCGCUUGCUUUCACGCCCUGCCGCAGCCGCCACCCCUUCCCACGUGCUCUUGUCCGGCGUACUUCGUCCGUCUGUCUGUGUGGGCCCACGACUGUCCACCGUGGAGUGGGAGGCCGCGGCGCCGCCGUCCGAUAUCGUAAAGCGCAACGAGACCGUCGCCCUUUUCGUGCUUUCGAAGCUCGAGGCGGACGGCAAUGGCGAGAUCAGCCAAAGCAGGGCAAGGGUGUGUGUGUGUGUGUGGUAGAGGGGGGGGGGCAGCUCUGGCGCUCACCCACCUACCCCCCCCCCACACACACCGGCUCUCUGCCCAUUCUCUCCUGUACUGAGACGGCCAUUGAUGCCUUUGGAGUCAAGGCUGGUUUUUCCACUGGCGGUGCCGCGAUGUGCGGCCUUCGCCCGCUGGCACGCACCUCGCCGUCUUUUCUCACGUCACACGCACCGACAAGCACAAGCCACAAUGUGCAGCUGUCUUCCAACGGCAAUCUUGGUAUUCUCUACUUCUUCGUUCUCCCCUCACCCUCUCCUCCGCACCCAUGCGCAUGCACGAGCACGCAUCAG
rnacentral:misc_RNA from 1 species